UACGGAGGGUGCGAGCGUUGUCCGGAAUCACUGGGCGUAAAGGGCGCGUAGGCGGCCGUGUAAGUCACUUGUGAAAUCCCGGGGCUCAACCCCGGGGCUGCAGGUGAGACUGCGUGGCUAGAGCACGGUAGAGGCGAGUGGAAUUCCCGGUGUAGCGGUGGAAUGCGUAGAUAUCGGGAAGAACACCGGUGGCGAAGGCGGGCUACUGGGCCGAUACUGACGCUGAUGCGCGAAAGCCAGGGGAGCAAACGGG
rnacentral:rRNA from 1 species